rnacentral:lncRNA from 1 species
GUGAGUAUAAGGGAUCAAUCACUCCUAAUAAGGAGAGUGAACAUCCUAUGUGAUCUUAUAGGUUGAUGAUUCUAAAAAUCUUUGAUCAAAGUAGGAUGAUAAUUAGAAAGAGAUUUCUAGUAUUUCAUCAACUGAAUCAUCACCUUCUGAUUGAGAUAUAUUUAGAUAAAUAAUUUAGUUUGACAUGAUUCUAUGCCCACAGUUCAUCUAGGAUGUUGUUCGAUUAAAGGAUUGAA